rnacentral:rRNA from 1 species
GAUCCUGCCAGUAGUCAUAUGCUUGUCUCAAAGAUUAAGCCAUGCAUGUCUCAGUACAAACCGAAAUAAGGUGAAACCGCGAAAGGCUCAUUAUAUCAGUUAUGGUUCAUUAGAUCGUACCAACAUUUACUUGGAUAACUGUGGUAAUUCUAGAGCUAAUACGCGCAAACAGAACUCCGACCGGAGACGGAAGGAGCGCUUUUAUUAGAUCAAAACCAACGCGGGCGGCGCGCGCCGGCGGCCUCGCGUCGUCGCGCCGCGCCGUCUCACACAUAGCUCGCGAGACGAAUCUGAAUAACUUUACGCCGAUCGCACGGCCUCGCGCCGGCGACGCAUCUUUCAAAUGUCUGCCUUAUCAACUUUCGAUGGUAGGUUAUGCGCCUACCAUGGUCGUAACGGGUAACGGGGAAUCAGGGUUCGAUUCCGGAGAGGGAGCCUGAGAAACGGCUACCACAUCCAAGGAAGGCAGCAGGCGCGCAAAUUACCCACUCCCGGCACGGGGAGGUAGUGACGAAAAAUAACGAUACGGGACUCAUCCGAGGCCCCGUGAUCGGAAUGAGCACACUUUAAAUCCUUUAACGAGGAUCAAUUGGAGGGCAAGUCUGGUGCCAGCAGCCGCGGUAAUUCCAGCUCCAAUAGCGUAUAUUAAAGUUGCUGCGGUUAAAAAGCUCGUAGUCGAAAUUGUGUCCUCGGCCGCCGGUUCGUCGCUCGCGACGCCAACUGGCGCGCACGCUGGACGUCCAGCCGGCGGUGCUAUAAACGCCUACUCGCCUACGGGGUGCUCUUAACCGAGUGUCCAGGCGGGGGCCGGCAACGUUACUUUGAACAAACUAGAGUGCUUAAAGCAGGCUAAAUUGCGCUCGCAUACGUACGCGCAUGGAAUAAUCGAAUAGGACCUCCGUUCUAUUUUUGUUGGGUUUUUGUGGAACGACAAGCGGAGGUAAUGAUCAAUGGGUGCGGAUGGGGGCAUUCGUAUUGCGACGUUAGAGGUGAAAUUCUUGGAUCGUCGCAAGACGGACUUAAGCGAA